UACGAAGGGGGCUAGCGUUGCUCGGAUUGACUGGGCGUAAAGGGCGCGUAGGCGGUUCGUACAGUCAGACGUGAAAUUCCUGGGCUCAACCUGGGGACUGCGCUUGAUACGGCAGAGCUAGAGGAUGGAAGAGGCUCGCGGAAUUCCCAGUGUAGAGGUGAAAUUCGUAGAUAUUGGGAAGAACACCGGUGGCGAAGGCGGCGAGCUGGUCCAUUACUGACGCUGAGGCGCGACAGCGUGGGGAGCAAACAGG
rnacentral:rRNA from 1 species